UUUUAAAAAUUCGAAAAAUAUUUUUUGUUGAAUAUAUAAAAAUUAACAUGUGUCAAUUGCAAGCAAAGUAUAUAUAUAUAUAUAUAUAUUUGUUUCACAAUUCGUGGUGAUGGAAAUAUCAACUUGAAACAAUUCAUUCUGAGAUUGGAAAUAUUUAUCAGUGAAACAAUUGAAACAAUUCAUGCUGAUAAAUAAACAAGUGAAACAAUUGAAACAAUUCAUGCUGAUAAAUAAACAAGUGAAACAAUUCAUCAACUUGAAACAAUUCAUUCUGAGAUUGGAAAUAUUUGUCAGUGAAACAAUUGAAACAAUUCAUGCUGAUAAAUUAACAAGUGAAACAAUUCAUGGAGGACCGGUGGGACGUCGGAUGACCGGUUAGCCCAAAUUUUCCUGCCUUCAACCGAGUUUUCAAAAGUGAGCGUGGAAUUAAUUUUUGAAAGCUGCAAACAAACACCACGUGAGAACCAAUGAUUGGAACUAAAGUUCUAGUCAUCCACCAAACAGAGCCUAGGUGUUUUCUUCCUUGCCAACAGUGCAUAAAGCUCAAUAAUUUUCAGAACCAGAGUACAAUAUUGAAAUUACCGAACGUUGGGCCAGUACUGUAAACUAAAUAUCAGUAAUCAUAUUGCAAUACUAAUAAACACCUUCAAGUGAAGCAAAGCCAAGCUUUUGGAACUAGAAAGAAUAUAAAACAUAUAAUUCAGCCACACACUACCAUAAAAAAAAAAAAAAAU